UACGAAGGGUGCAAACGUUGCUCGGAAUUAUUGGGCGUAAAGCGCACGUAGGCGGCUCUGUAAGUUGGAUGUGAAAUCCCUCGGCUCAACCAAGGAAGUGCAUCCAAAACUGUAGAGCUUGAGUACUAAAGAGGAUCGCGGAAUUCCCGGUGUAGAGGUGAAAUUCGUAGAUAUCGAGAGGAACACCGGCGGCGAAAGCGGCCUUCUGGAGAGUGACUGACGCUGAGAUGCGAAAGCAUGGGGAGCAAACAGG
rnacentral:rRNA from 1 species